GCGGCACUUAGACAACUUUGCCGAAUGUUGCUAAGUAAGCCUAGAGCUUCUCGAACUAGAGAAGAGAGCAAUUGAGCCAAAGUUGUCUAAGUCCCGCACGGGUUAGCUGCGCAAAACACUCAUCCCGUGACAAGUGGUAUCAGAGCUAAGGUUUGCACGCACGCAAAUUAGCUCACGAAGCAAUGGCCAACCCUUCGAACGUAGCACAAGAGGGUGUUGUUGGUGUGGAUGUUCCACCGGAACCAAGCCGUGGCCGAGAGGGAGAACGCGCCCAAGGCAAGNNNNN
rnacentral:lncRNA from 1 species